rnacentral:lncRNA from 1 species
CCCCGAAGACCCUGCCCCCGGGCCUAGUAGUCACCUCACCUCCGCGCUUGGUUCUGCCUCCUGCCCCCGCUCUGAGUGGAUCUCAGGCUCAGCCGCACCCUCGCGCGAGGAACUACCAUUUCUCUGCCAUUAGGGGUUCAGAGAGUCUGAUGCCCGAACCCCGCAGUCAGUCUCCUCCGGCUGCAAGUCGCAGGCGGAAGUGACGUCAUGGCUCGCUUCCGUCUUUUCCGGUGCUGACUCCUGGCAGCUGGGUUCCUUUUCACCUUAGUGGCCCUGGGGCUUCCUACGCCUUCAGGGCUGGGUGCGGGGCCGACCGGCGCUGGAAGGGGGCAGUGAAAGUACGCGUUUGACCCGGGACGCCGAGGAGCCUCUCGGGAGACACCUGGCUUGCCCCGCCCGCGCCUCCUCCCGGGCUACCGGGUCUGCGAGGCCGCUCGGGCUGUCAGGAGCCACGUCGCGACUGCUGGAACACAUAUAACCUUCUAUACAGAGGAACAGAGAUUGCCACCAUCCCCUUAAAUGUGUAAGCUACUUUGAUGUGUCUUUGGAAUCACAGGCCUAUUUCACCAUCAGCCCUAUGAGAUGGAAGCCAUUGAUUUGUCCUGUGCUUUUCAUGGCAUAGAUGCAGGAGAUGCGCAGUCUUAGCCAUGAAGGAAUAUGCUGUACUGGAAGUUUCUGGAAAAGGAGACCAAAGCCACAUGGUGAUGUGCUUGCUUCAAAGGAACAGGGCUCACCCAGGAGGGUCCUCGCCAGGCGAUUUCUAGAUUUCACUUCCGUCAUCAUCGUCCUCAUGCUCUUCCUUUUUAAACAUUUUCAGACUUAUUUUCUAGGGACCCCAUUUGCCUUCAUGAAGAAAAGACAGAGGCAGAAAGGAUGGUGGUUGAUAGCCUGACAAAUUGUUACCAGGUAGGAAGAAUGUACUAUCCUCCCAAAUGGCAUACUUCCUUGCUCCAAGAAGAUAUUUUCAUCUAGAUGUUCUUGUCUGCAAGGAUUCUUAAAGCAUAUAAAGUCUCCCUGAAGGACUGAGUCCAAGUUGAAUUUCUCCUGAGAAUGCAGCCUCUUAUAUUGGGGAACAAUUAUCCUGAAAAUCAUCCUGGGAUUUC